UUCUUGGCUACUUACAACAAAAUUGUGUUCCCUUUUAAGCUUGCAUGUACUACCUCUGUUUCAUGAUUACUAUCUCAGGCUUUGAGAGUUCAAAUAACCGUCCAUUGAGAAAAUUGGUGGUAUGAAGAAAAUAAUUAUUUUAUUGCUUUAGAAGAGGUUAAGUAGCUGUAGCAUCUUAUUUAAUAAGGAUAUGCAUGGCCAUUUUUUCUGAUUAUUGUUUCUUAGAUUUGGUCUUCCCUAGAUCUGUGUGGAAGGUUUAUUAUGGGAAUACCCAAUUGGACCUCUUCAUUUUAAGUAUAUUUAGGUUUGUCAUCAAGACUAGGAGUAUGAAUUUUUCUUGUCUUGGCCAUUGCACGAUCUCCAAAUGUAGCUUUAAUCAUUCAUUUGUACAGUAAUGUGUGAUAAGUAGAAGGCUUUCCUAAGAAGGCACAAGUUCUACCUAGGAUUUCAGAUAUAGGGACCUGGCCCAGUUUUGGUGCGAAUUGUAAAGUCCACCAUAAACAUGCAAUGCAAGAAGACAAUAGUUUUCCUGCUUUCUUUGUCUGAACUCUUGUUCUUAUCUUGAAAAAAAGUUAGGUCCCACCGGGAUUCGAACCCAGGUUGCCAGAUUCAAAGUCUGGAGUGAUAACCACUACACCAUGGAACCGGAUCUUGUAUAUGGUCCUUUGAUGAUGCCAUUUAUGAUAUGAUUCUAUAGGCACGUAAAAGGGCAUGAAAAAUAAACACUUUUUGCUUGUAUCUGUUUGUUUUCUAUGGGCACACUUGCAUUGUUUGAUUCAAUAAAGUCGUCUCCUUUUUGAGCUUGCAGAUAGUUGGCAUCUAGUUAAAUUAUGGGAAUAGCCAAAAGAUCACUUUAGUUAAAGUGUUAUUUUGGUAUAUCAUUAGUAUGGCUUGAUGUAUGGAUGUGUGUUGUCUUGGGAAUUCCACGCUUUUAAGAAACUUGUAGUGAAAUGGCGUCCUAAGAAUGGAUAUGGUCUUAGGCCAAUUUGGCGCUGAAUAUUUACUUAUGUCUGACAGAAAUUAGUAACGCAUGAGCGUAAAAUGGGUACUUUUCUUAAUUUGUCAAGAGCUGUUGUCCGACAGAUAUCCAUGUCAUUAGUACUUAUUCUAAUGUAAAGUUCACUCGAAAAGGUAAUCAUCGAAGGCAUGGCAAGGUGGCAGAAUGGCAGUUAGCUUCAUGGGCUCUGCUCAAUCAGGAUCUUGUAGAGAAGCCAGGACGCAAGAAUCCAGACACAGCACAUCACCCUCUAGGAAACAGUAUCUUAAGGCUUCUUGAGUAGCAGCGCUGAGAAUUGUCUGGGCUGUGGGAAGACUAGCGGCAGCCUAAUCUUGUGGAAGUUGGGCUCCAGGACCGUCCAGGUAAGGUGGAGUUAGCUUGCAUUGGAGUGGGGGGCACCGGGUGAUACAAAGUUUGCAUGGGAUCCAAGGACACCGACAGAAUUACUCCCUUCGGCCCUAUAAGAAUACAUGGAAUGUGUGAUCAGUUAGAGAAGGCUGCUGCAUCCUGAUGUGGGAAUACACUCGCAGAUGCAUGACUGCAGUUGCCACUGAGAAGAACUUGAGCACUAUGGUCUAGGAAUAUCCAUGCCUUCCCUUUGAUGAUUAGCUUUUUGGGUGGGGGAAUAUUAUUACCAGAACCAUCUAUAUGUGUCAAACAAAAAAAAUCAUAGUCUAGGGUCGCUAAUAGCUAAGGUCUGUGGACAUUUUAUGCACAUGAAACCCUCUUUGAAAUGAUGGUAGGUGCAGGAUUAUUGAUGACUAGUGUGUGAUAUCAUUAUGCUGCUGUCUAAUGUACUUUACUCUAAUAUAGAAAUAUUCUUUUGACAUAUGCAUAAUGUCCUUAGCUAGUCAAUGUGGGGCCUAACAGAAAAGACAGAUAUUAUCUUAUUACAUGAUUGACUGAGAUAAAUUUACCUCAACAGGGUUUUCCUUAUCAUUAUUAAUUUUUUGGCUCUGUUCACGUUCAGUUCUUUUGCCUUCAACCCCUGUAAGGCUGUAACAGCUUUUGCAUAGAGUACUAGAUUACACCAUUGCAUGCUGAGAUCGAUUCGUGGUGGCCUGAUGCUUCAAGACGUUUUGCGGUGGCCAAUCAUGAAAAGGUUAAUUCCUUAAUCAUGCUGAGCCUUUGACUGGAGAUAAAUUAUUGCAUCUUCGAAGACAAGCGCGCUCCUGCUAGCUCUGUUUUGAGCAUGCCCCUUGAUGAGGGGCACGCGUGGGUGGCUUGUAGAGGUGGGCAGCCGAGAGCAAUAGAGUAGCCCUGGCUUGUCUUUGAGCCCCCAAAGUGGUGGCGUUUUGGGUGGUCUUUUUUCAGGUUCUGCAUUGACCUCUUUUCUCUCUUUUUUCUUGUUCUGUUGUCGUUUUGUUUUGGACAUCUUGGUCCUGCCUUUGAGCUGAAUACAAUGACGUGCAGCUCUCCUACGGGUUCUAAAGAAAAAAGUACUAGAUUACACAUGCAUUGUAUGUAUAUAUAACGUUGCCAAUCUUCAGUUUAACCCGUUUUUCUACAGGGGAGAACACCAUCUGAAUCAGAUUGGAUGGAUAAGCCAGAGCAGGAGUGCUCUUCGCGAGCCAAAAUGAGUUUUGUCCCUAGAACAUGUGGUACCUUAUUUGCUUCUUGUGGGCAAUGAUUUUUGUUCCAUGAUGUAAGAAUCCCCAAAGAUGACAGCUGUGGCUACGUGGGAUUAUACAAUCUGAGAUGUUGACCAUGCGAUUACAUCCCAUUUAAGCAGUGAGGUUUAAGCUCUGCCAACCAGCAUCGAUGACAUACAAAGUGAUCUGUUGAAGCUACAAUAAAUAUGCUCCCGUCAUCAUAGAUAAUUGUUUCACCAUAUGCAGCAUCCUCAUUUGGGCCUCUUUGUUUAGAAAGAUUUCUGUUUUACUUUUGGAGGCUUGGAAUCCUUAUGAAUCUUUUCUACUACUAGCUCCAUUCCGAUUUAAUGACUGCGAGUAGUAGCACACUAGCACCACAAGUGAGUAUGUACGCAAGUUGUUUCCACUGAAUGGCGUUUGAUUUAAAUCGGAACAGACAAUAGAGGUACUAUUUGUUA